AGCAUAUCAAUAAGCGGAGGAAAAGAAACUAACAAGGAUUCCCCUAGUAACGGCGAGUGAAGCGGGAAGAGCUCAAAUUUAAAUCUGGCAGUGUAUUCUGUCCGAGUUGUAGUCUAGAGAAGCAUCAUCCGUGCUGGACCAUGUACAAGUCUCUUGAACAGAGCGUCAUAGAGGGUGAGAAUCCCGUCCUUGACAUGGACUCCCAGAUCUUUGUGUGCUCUCAACGAGUCGAGUUGUUUGGGAAUGCAUGCUCAAAAUGGGUGGUAAAUUCCAUCUAAAGCUAAAUAUUGGCGAGAGACCGAUAGCGAACAAGUACCGUGAGGGAAAGAUGAAAAGCACUUUGGAGAGAGAGUUAAACAGUACGUGAAAUUGUUGAAAUGGAAACGCUUGAAGUCAGUCGCGUUCUCUGGGAUUCAGCCUUGCUUCUGCUUGGUGCAUUUCCUAGUCUACGGGCCAGCAUGAAUUUCGACCGGUGGAAAAAGAUUUGGGGAAUGUGGCACUUCGGGUGUGUUAUAGCCCCUUGUCAGAUACAUUGGUUGGGAUUGAGGUCUUAGUGCACGCUUCGGUUGUGCUUUGAUGCUGGCGUAAUGGCUUUAAACGACCCGUCUUGAAACACGGACCAAGGAGUCUAACAUGUCUGCGAGUGUUUGGGUGGAAAACCCGAGCGCGAAAUGAAAGUGAUAAGUUGGGAACCUCGCAAGAGGGGCACCGACGCCCGGACCAUACCUUCUGUGACGGAUCCGCGGUAGAGCAUAUAUGUUGGGACCCGAAAGAUGGUGAACUAUGCCUGAAUAGGGUGAAGCCAGAGGAAACUCUGGUGGAGGCUCGUAGCGAUUCUGACGUGCAAUUCGAUCGUUAAAUUUGGGUAUAGGGGCGAAAGACUAUUCGUCCAU
rnacentral:rRNA from 1 species